UUAGCGGCGUUUUUCAAAAAACGCCACAAAAAAUGAAAAAAAAUUAAAAU
rfam:Gossypium arboreum cultivar AKA8401 contig_237794_1, whole genome shotgun sequence.